CUACGUGCCAGCAGCCGCGGUAAUACGUAGGUGGCGAGCGUUGUCCGGAUUUACUGGGCGUGAAGGGAGCGUAGGCGGACUUUUAAGUGAGAUGUGAAAUACCCGGGCUCAACUUGGGUGCUGCAUUUCAAACUGGAAGUCUAGAGUGCAGGAGAGGAGAAUGGAAUUCCUAGUGUAGCGGUGAAAUGCGUAGAGAUUAGGAAGAACACCAGUGGCGAAGGCGAUUCUCUGGACUGUAACUGACGCUGAGGCUCGAAAG
rnacentral:rRNA from 1 species